AAAGAGAAAAUCAUCUUUAAAAUAGCCAUUUAAAAUACGGCUAACUGUGCCAUGUCUCUGCCAUCUUUGUUUGUAUAGAACGUUGCAAGUAGAGUCAUCUCCAAGAUACCCGGGAGGUAUCAGCCAUACACUGUUGCAGACACCGCUGACAAGGAACGAGCUUCUUUCUGCUUUGGUCCUAGAUAUGUGGAAGAGUUUUCAGCUUCCUAGUUUACAUUAAAUUUCCAGAAUACAUCAUGACCUCUUCUUUAGUUUCACCCAUGGAAGCACCAGAUGAAGAACCUUCCCAGAGAACAAUGUGUGUGACAUGUCCAUCCAUUCUCCCUUCUCCUAAGAGUUUGGACAGCUAAUCCGUUCACCGUCUAAAGGAGGGAAGGUAGAGGGUUAGAUUCUGCUGCUGG
rnacentral:lncRNA from 1 species